AUUGAACGCUGGCGGCAGGCCUAACACAUGCAAGUCGAGCGAGCGGCGGACGGGUGAGUAAUGUAUGGGGACUGCCCGAUGGAGGGGGAUAACUACUGGACACGGUAGCUAAUACCGCAUACUAUCGGAUCACCCAUAUGGGAUUAGCUUGUAGGUGGGGUAAAGGCUCACCUAGGCGACGAUCCCUAGCUGGUCUGAGAGGAUGAUCAUCCACACGGUGACUGAGACACGGCCCCGACUCCGACUACGUCACCAGUUCUAAAUAUUGCACAAUGGGCGCAAGCCUGAGUCAGCCAUGCGGCGUGGAUGAAGAAGGCCUUAGGGUUGUAAAGUACUAUCAGCGGGGAGGCGUUACCCUCAGAAGAAGCACCGGCUAACUCCGUGCCAGCAGCCGCGGUAAUUC
rnacentral:rRNA from 1 species